AAACUUUUUUUGUGGAAACGGGAGUGACCCCUUUUGAGUGCGCCCUUCUUUAUUCGGCGGUCAUCCAAGCAACGUGAAUAUGACAGGGCUGCAGGCCCAGCAAACCUAACAGCGAAGAAUUUCAGCGAGUCAGCACCGAACGGUGGCAUUCUUUCGUCGGAAAUUGUGCGCAUCUUCCUGAGUUCGAAAGCAACCGGAUUUGCUCACGACGGAAGUAAAACGUGUGAAAACAGAAAAAUAGCUUCUUACUCUUGGAACUAUCGCGACUAUACACAAUAAUGCGGCAAGCGCAUCGUCCUUGUCGAAUGUGACACGCCCACUUUUCUCGCCUUUUCCUGCGGCAAGUGCGACCGUGCCACCUGCUACGACGAACGCGGCGCACCAACAACAUCUGACUACUUCAGGUUCUAACGCUUCGCUAUGCCUUGGUUCGUGGAAGACUCCAGCUGAAGUCGCAGACGCCAAGAGCAGCUGUGCUUUUCACAACGGGAACUUUGAUGCUGGCGCUGUUAUCGGGACGUCGUUGGAAAUUGACGGAUAUGAGUUUGCAGCGUGGAAAUCCGGAUGCCAAAAACAUGCUUCAAAGGGACUUCAAAAGAAGGCGCAACAAGCGUGACCAAGUUAGGCCCCGGGACCGGGUUGGACGCCACGCAAAACGAUUUCCCCGACGGCACAUGGACAUAAGACAAGGAAAGCUCUCCAGCCCAUACACUGGCCUCGUCGUACAAGAAAAUGAGAUGCUUCAACUUGUCAUUAUGGGCCUAUCAGCGUUAACAGAGUACAAGGUUACGAGAGGGGUGGCCUGCGGCAAGAACGCUGUUGAUGACAUCAUGUGACGCAAAGUUCAAGCAGCGAGCACACAAGGCGAGUAAUGCAGCGACCAGAAACCACAGUGAAUUGCUGUAAAGCGUUGGUAACGACUAUAAUCGUUACCGUGCAGUGCGGUUAUGAUCUUACUUCGACGAUGUUUAAUGUUA